CUAAGUAAAUACUCCAAUCUUAAGGAAAAGAAAAAUAAGCAUAAUACAUUCGGCACAUUUGUGAGACUUGUGAAAGGGAUAAAAUCCGUAAUUUAUUACACUUAAACAGGGAGAGUUUGAAGUGAACAUUUUAACAUUUCUAUAUUGCUCAUCAUAGGGAUGGUGUCAAUGGGGAGGCUAGUGGUAGUACCCGACACUAUUUGACCCAACUAUUCGGUGUAGGGCAUAUUAGGGACGGCACAAGAGGGAGGCUAGUGGUAGUACCUCGUGCCCCUUCCAACUCCACCGGAUAGGGAGCAAAUAGAGUAUAGAGCAUAGAAAAGUAAGACCAAAAGAAAUGAAAAUUAGAAUGUUCACUAAGUGGUUAAAGGAAGAAAUUCAAAAAUGAGGAAAUGAAUGACAAGAUAAAUGAAAGUAUAUAAAAAGCUUGUGAAAAGCCAAAUAAAGUUUCGAUCACUUGAAAACACACCUCUAGGAUAAAAUCAAUGUAGAAUUAUAUAUAAAUAGGGAGAGUUUAUUUAAAAGAAUAAAUUUUGAUCCUUGACAUGCUUGCUCUUAAUGUUUUAAUACAUGAUGUUAUGACUUAAUGCAUAUUAUGUUUUGCAUGUAACAUGAUGUUAUGAAUUAUGUGUUUUCAAUAUUCAAAUAACAAAGAUCUUUCCUAAAUAUAACUUGUAAUGCUUCAUGCCUAUAAAAU
rnacentral:lncRNA from 1 species